rnacentral:rRNA from 1 species
GACAGAGGGGGCAAGCGUUGCUCGGAUUUACUGGGCGUAAAGGGCGCGUAGGCGGCAAUUCAAGUCAUCUGUGAAAUCUCCGGGCUUAACUCGGAAUGGUCAGGUGAUACUGCUUUGCUAGAGUGCAGAAGGGGCAAUCGGAAUUCUUGGUGUAGCGGUGAAAUGCGUAGAUAUCAAGAGGAACACCUGAGGUGAAGACGGGUUGCUGGGCUGACACUGACGCUGAGGCGCGAAAGCUAGGGGGAGCAAACGGG